rnacentral:ncRNA from 2 species
AGGGUCGGACGUGUUGGCGGUUCGCCCGACCGGUUGACCCCGGAAGGGCGAGGCAAGAGGGAACCCGGUGCGAGUCCGGGACUGCCCCGCAGCGGUGAACGGGAACGAAAGCCGUCAUCAAGCACUGCGCCCGCGUCGGGCGUGGGAAGCGACGGCCGGUAGGAGCGCGCACGACGCCCGUGAGUCCGAAGACCUGCCGCCGACCCGCGCGCCCA